GCGGUCUUAGUAUAGUGGUCUAGUACAGCUCGUUGUGGAAUUGGGUCAAAUUGAUCCGUUCUUCUGAGCCGAGCAGACGGAUGUUCGAUUCCUCCAGACCGCA
rnacentral:tRNA from 2 species